UACAGAGGGUGCAAGCGUUAAUCGGAAUUACUGGGCGUAAAGCGUGCGCAGGCGGUUCGUUAAGUUCGAUGUGAAAGCCCCGGGCUCAACCUGGGAACUGCAUUGGAAACUGGCGGGCUUGAGUGUGGCAGAGGGGGGUGGAAUUCCACGUGUAGCAGUGAAAUGCGUAGAGAUGUGGAGGAACACCGAUGGCGAAGGCAGCCCCCUGGGCUAACACUGACGCUCAGGCACGAAAGCGUGGGGAGCAAACAGG
rnacentral:rRNA from 1 species